UACGAAGGGGGCUAGCGUUGCUCGGAAUCACUGGGCGUAAAGCGCACGUAGGCGGAUCUUUAAGUCAGGGGUGAAAUCCCAAGGCUCAACCUUGGAACUGCCUUUGAUACUGGGGAUCUCGAGUCCGGAAGAGGUGAGUGGAACUGCGAGUGUAGAGGUGAAAUUCGUAGAUAUUCGCAAGAACACCAGUGGCGAAGGCGGCUCACUGGUCCGGUACUGACGCUGAGGUGCGAAAGCGUAGGGAGCAAACAGG
rnacentral:rRNA from 1 species